GACGAACGCUGGCGGCGUGCCUAACACAUGCAAGUCGAACGGGGUAUUUCUUCGGAGAUACUUAGUGGCGAACGGGUGAGUAACGCGUGAGAAACCUGCCUUUCAGUGGGGGACAACAGUUGGAAACGACUGCUAAUACCGCAUAAUGUUAUUUGGGGGCAUCCUCGAAUAACCAAAGAUUUAUUGCUGAAAGAUGGUCUCGCGUCUGAUUAGCUAGAUGGCGGGGUAACGGCCCACCAUGGCGACGAUCAGUAGCCGGUCUGAGAGGAUGAACGGCCACAUUGGGACUGAGAUACGGCCCAGACUCCUACGGGAGGCAGCAGUGGGGAAUAUUGGGCAAUGGGCGAAAGCCUGACCCAGCAACGCCGCGUGAAGGAAGAAGGCCUUCGGGUUGUAAACUUCUUUUAGCAGGGACGAAUUUUGACGGUACCUGCAGAAAAAGCAACGGCUAACUACGUGCCAGCAGCCGCCGCCGUAA
rnacentral:rRNA from 1 species